rnacentral:rRNA from 1 species
CUUUACUGUAGCUUUGUAUUGAAUUUUGAACAGACCUGUGUAGGAUAGGUGGGAGGCUUUGAAGCCGGGACGCUAGUUCCGGUGGAGCCAACGUUGAAAUACCACCCUGGUGUGUUUGAGGUUCUAACCUAGGUCCAUUAUCUGGAUCGGGGACCGUGCAUGGUAGGCAGUUUGACUGGGGCGGUCUCCUCCCAAAGCGUAACGGAGGAGUUCGAAGGUACGCUAGUUACGGUCGGACAUCGUGACGAUAGUGCAAUGGCAUAAGCGUGCUUAACUGCGAGACUGACAAGUCGAGCAGAUGCGAAAGCAGGACAUAGUGAUCCGGUGGUUCUGUAUGGAAGGGCCAUCGCUCAACGGAUAAAAGGUA